rnacentral:rRNA from 1 species
UACGGGAGGCAGCAGUGGGGAAUAUUGCACAAUGGGCGAAAGCCUGAUGCAGCUAUGCCGCGUGUAUGAAGAAGGCCUUAGGGUUGUAAAGUACUUUCAUCGGGGAGGAAAAACAAAACUAAUAAUUUUAUUUCUUGACGUUACCCGAAAAAGAAGCACCGGCUAACUCCGUGCCAGCAGCCGCGGUAAUACGGAGGGUGCUAGCGUUAAUCAGAAUUACUGGGCGUAAAGAGCACGUAGGUGGUUUUUUUAAGCCAGAUGUGAAAUCCCUGGGCUUAACCUAGGAACUGCAUUUUGAAACUGAAAUACUAGAGUAUCGUAGAAGGAGGUAGAAUUCUAGGUGUAGCGGUGAAAUGCGUAGAUAUCUGGAGGAAUACCUGUGGCGAAAGCGGCCUCCUAAACGAAUACUGACACUGAGGUGCGAAAGCGUGGGGAGCAAACAGGGAUUAGAUACC